rnacentral:tRNA from 1 species
GGACUUGUAGCUCAAUUGGCAGAGCGUUACCUUGACGUGGUAAAGGUUCUCAGUUCGAUUCUGAGCAGGUCCACCA